UUCAAGCGUAACCAUAAUUUUCCAUGUUUAACUUUAAUUAUCCGUUUUAUUCUAAAUUUUUUAUGAUAAAUAUUUAUAUUGUUAUUAGAUACAAAACAUGAAUAGUAUUUUACGUGUGAUUUGUGUUUUUCUAAAAAAAAUAAAUAAGACGGACGAUUAAAGUUGGAUACAGAAAUUCAUGGCUACGUUUAAA
rfam:Oryza meridionalis cultivar OR44 (W2112) chromosome 10, whole genome shotgun sequence.